UGCUGAGAGUGCCCAAGCACAAGG
rnacentral:siRNA from 1 species